rnacentral:rRNA from 1 species
CCUACGGGGGGCAGCAGUGAGGAAUAUUGGGCAAUGGGCGCAAGCCUGACCCAGCCAAGCCGCGUGAAGGAAGACGGCUUUCGGGUUGUCAACUUCUUUUAAGAGGGAAGAGCAGAAGACGGUACCUAUUGAAUAAGACCCGGCUAAAUACGUGCCAGCAGCCGCGGUAAUACGGAGGUCGCAAGCGUUGUCCGGAUUUACUGGGUGUAAAGGGCGUGCAGCCGGGUAGACAAGUCAGAUGUGAAAGCCCGCGGCGCAACUGUGGAACUGCAGUUGACACUGGUGUUCUUGAGUACCGGAGAGGUCAGCGGAAUUCGUGGUGUAGCGGUGAAAUGCUUAGAUAUAAGGAAGAACACCAGUGGCGAAGGCAGACGACUGGACUGCAACUGACGGUGAGGCUCGAAAGCGUGGGGAGCAAACAGGAUUAGAUACCCUAGUAGUC